rnacentral:rRNA from 1 species
UAUAAGACUCCCGGCAACGGAUAUCUUGGCUCUCACAUCGAUGAAGAACGUAGCAAAAUGCGAUACCUGGUGUGAAUUGCAGAAUCCCGUGAACCAUCGAGUUUUUGAACGCAAGUUGCGCCUGAGGCCUCAAGGUCGAGGGCACGUCUGCCUGGGCGUCACGC